CAGGUCUUGACAUCCCUUUGAUCGGUCUAGAGAUAGACCUUUCCUUCGGGACAGAGGAGACAGGUGGUGCAUGGUUGUCGUCAGCUCGUGUCGUGAGAUGUUGGGUUAAGUCCCGCAACGAGCGCAACCCUUAUGCUUAGUUGCCAGCAGGUCAAGCUGGGCACUCUAAGCAGACUGCCGGUGACAAACCGGAGGAAGGUGGGGAUGACGUCAAAUCAUCAUGCCCCUUAUGACCUGGGCUACACACGUACUACAAUGGCCGGUACAACGGGAAGCGAAGGAGCGAUCUGGAGCCAAUCCUAGAAAAGCCGGUCUCAGUUCGGAUUGUAGGCUGCAACUCGCCUACA
rnacentral:rRNA from 2 species